UUGCAAUGAUGUUUGAAUUUCUUCACCUGAAUUAUACAUGUGGUUACAAACCAAUGAGCUUUUUAACCCUGAGCAAG